UCUCUCUGCCACCCACACCACUGAACUUCAUUUACACAGCACUGCACCUCUUCUCCCUCUUCUCUUCCUCUACCUUCUCUUUACCAAAACUUGAGUUCACUCUUCAUCUGUUGCAGAGUCCAGACCUGAGACUAGUUCAGGAUCUCCUCUUUCAUCUACAAUUCUCCCUCCUCCAUCUCACUGAGUGGUACAGCUGAAGCUCUUGGGUGGGAGGAUCCUAACUAAUUAGAAGGAUAUAUAUAGAGCUGAAACCAGAUGGAGAUACCCCCUCUUGAGUAGAAGUUGGAGCCUGGCAAGGAGUGUCCACUAUAGUUUAGAUUUCUACUGUAUAUUUUGAGGGUUUGGGUGUAGUUUAGCAUCCUUUCUACCUACUCUACCUGGUGUAUGUAUGUGUAUAUAGAUGUAGCAGUGUGGAGGACUGUACUAGAUACAUAUACCUUGUGUGUGUGACCGUUACCCUUACUAUCUGCUAUGUUUGAUCAUAUGAUAUAAUGUUUUGUUUGAUAGU